GGUACCCGGAGACGUGUAUCAGACGGUGGGCCGCAGCCAUGGCCGAGAGAAAACCUAACGGUGGCAGCGGCGGCGCCUCCACUUCCUCCUCGGGCACUAACUUACUUUUCUCCUCCUCGGCCACGGAGUUCAGCUUCAAUGUGCCCUUCAUCCCAGUCACCCAGGCCUCCGCUUCUCCGGCCUCCCUGCUCUUGCCCGGAGUUUUUCAUUUCUAAGAAGCAAGUUUUCAAAGAAAAAAAGAAAAAACUUUUUUUUCUGUAAUGCAGAAAUAGCAAGUUUGAAGA
rnacentral:sRNA from 1 species